GGUGUUUCUUGCAGAGGAUCCAUACUGUAAAUAUAUUUGUUUGUAAAUUAGAGAGCCACAUCUACUUUUUCAGCGGUCCAACACAUGCUUCAUUUUGUGCUGUAAGCUAACUUUUCCUUGCUACAGGUACUUUAAAGGAUGCAGAGCAUCACUUGCUGAAUAUGCUUUAUGAUUCUCUGUAGAUUAAUCUUUGAGGAAAAAGCUCCCUAUUCUGACUAAUAUGUCUAACAUUAU